rnacentral:misc_RNA from 1 species
AACGCACAUUGCGCCCGCCGGUAUUCCGGCGGGCAUGCCUGUCCGAGCGUCAUUUCACCACUCAAGCCCAGCUUGGUGUUGGGGCACCCGGCCGCCUGGCGGUCGGGGCCCCCAAGAACAUCGGCGGUCUCGCUUAGGACCCUGAACGCAGUAACUCGCGGUAAAACGCGCUUCGUUUGGAGGCUCCAGGCGGGUUCCAGCCGCUAAACCCCUAAACUUCUUAGGUUGACCUCGGAUCAGGUAGGAAUACCCGCUGAACUUAA